UACGUAGGCAGCAAACGUUGUUCGGAGUUACUGGGCGUAAAGAGUACGUAGGCGGUUUGCUAAGUUUGGUGUGAAAUCUCCUGGCUUAACUGGGAGGGUGCGCCGAAUACUGGCGAGCUUGAGUGUUGGAGAGGAUAGCGGAAUUCCUGGUGUAGCGGUGAAAUGCGUAGAUAUCAGGAGGAACACCGGUGGUGUAGACGGCUAUCUGGACAACAACUGACGCUGAGGUACGAAAGCGUGGGUAGCAAACAGGAUUAGAUACCCUGGUAGUCCACGCCCUAAACGAUGCAAACUUGGUGUAGGCAGUUCAGUCUGUCUGUGCCGGAGCUAACGCGUUAAGUUUGCCGCCUGGGGAGUACGGUCGCAAGGCUG
rnacentral:rRNA from 1 species